AAAAAAAGGAAAAGAUUCCAACCAACCACUGGAGUAAUCUGUCUAAACUGCACUUCCCAUCAGUGUGUGUUAAGGCUGUCAGAUAAGCAACAGCAAACCGAAUUAUCAGUUCUAGGGCAUCAUUAUGGCUAUUUCCUGUGUGCCUGUAAAGAUAAAUUGGAAGGAGCUGGACAAGAUAGUGAGAGUCUUUACUGAGAAGUGGAUCUGCUACUUGUGAAAGGAGAGGAGGAACAGAAGGAGAGUGAGUAGACAAAGUCUUAGGU
rnacentral:lncRNA from 1 species